GUUAAAAAAAAAAGGAAUUUCCCACAGGAUAGAAAUUAUAAUAUUCAACCAGCACUGUUCUUUGGAGUCAACUCUGCACUUUGUUCUCGUUGUCUUGGCAAAUUCACUGUGUACCUUCAUAUAGAACAUGCGAAAAGUAACUGCCAGCUCAGACAAUCUAAGUCCAGCAUACUCAGAGGAAGGUUCAGUUUAGGCUCUUUAAAUCACCUAACAGAGCUGCUGCUAAUGAAUUAUACAAGUUCCAGUCUGACUGUUAACAAUGUGAACAUAUAGGACGUCCCCAAGCUACCAGGCACUCUUCCUGAAUUUCUACUGCACCUAAGAUGUCUCUUACUGGAAAGGGCACUAAACCUUCUGGAGCAGAGAGAAUGCAGUAGACAGAGCAACUGCUCAUGUGGAUACUACAUAUGGAAGAUAGAAUGUUAAAUUAACGGUUAUGAACGGGCAAAAGAUGACCUCCAGUUGGGAUCAAGAAGACAUUGUGAUAUAGUAUUACAUAAUGAGUUGCAGAAAUUGCACCUGUCUGGGCGUGCUCCCAAGUCACUUUGAAUUGCAUUGCUCUUAGUUUUUUUGAAUCAUCAGUGAAUUCUGCACUGGAAUCUGAACUUCAUAUGCAACAAGAUUUAUAUCUUAAACUGGGAGAAUCCGUGGACAGUGUAUUUAAAGUACUGCAAAGUUACAGGUGAUGGCUCUGAUCCCACUAACAUUUAUAUAGUUAGUUUGGAAGACCCUGCAUACCGGCUCCUAACAUGGCCCAUGAAGCCAUACCCCAACAUUGCCAAUCCAAGAAAACGAGAAUUCAAAUAUAGAUUGAGCAUCUGCCAAAUAGUAGUGGAGUCCACUUUUGGGCAUCUGAAAACUUGUUGGUGAUGCCUGUAGACCUGUCUGGAUGUCAACGUAGCCAGUGCAGUUCACAUUAUUGUGGUUUUCUGUGCCUUGCACAACAUAUGUGAAGCUAAAGCAAAUCAGUCCAGAACAGAUCUGUUCUUCAAUGCCUGUACAGGCAGAUGGAUCCCACCACAUGCACGCUGCUCCUGGUUCCCAGUGGGCAAGGGAAAUUCAUGAUGCCAUUUGGUCGCACAUUGUGAAUCAGCGUGGAGCCAGAAGGUGACAUGGGACACUAUGGUGCUACUGCAAAGGCUCAAUUGUGCAUCGUCACAUGCUUGUGUUGUGACAUACCACAGUAGGAUUUGAUCCCCUGCAGCUGAUAUUAAAGUACCAACUGAAAGCAAACAAGUGGCUGAGGGGGCCUCAAGGUUAACACCUUUGGCCACGGUUUUGUACUGUGGAAAGUGUCUGUACAGUUUAACGCCAUUAUUGAGCAAUGCUUUUGUUAUAUGUUAACAGCUCUGUUUCAGGGUGCUUUAUGGAUGCACUUAAGCAUUGUUAAAGUAAUUUAAAAACAGUUCUGCAAGGUUUUGGAGGGUGCUUCAUAAUUCCUUCUUCACAAUGCUUUCUGACACCACUGCUCACAGAACUUAUCAGGUGCUAUCCAUGAGUACUCCCAUGGUUGCGAGUGGUGACUUUUGGUGGGGGUGAGGGAAGAAGGGACCGUAAAAGCUCUGGUCACUGCUCAUUUCCUUUUGUUUCCUUUGUCUAUAUUGUCAAAUAAGUUGUUAAAAAAGCCAUAAGGACAUUUCUGAUAACUUCUGCUUUG